UUAGUUUUGGAAAAAACUGCCAAACUGUCUUUCAAACAGGCCGUACCUGUACAUUUUGCAGUCCAGCAGCAACGAAUGAGAGUUCCUGUUGCUCCACAUCUUUGGCAACGUUUGGUGUCAGUGUUCUGGAUUCUGGCCAUUCCAGUAGGUCCUUUUCUCAUUUGAUAAGGCUGUCACAUUGAAAACAUGGAAUUGCAGAAUGUUCAAGGUGGAAGGAUCCUUACAGAUGAUUUAGUCCAACUUGACCUGUAUGGCAUAGAGAUAUAUGCAGAUGUGCAUGUGCAAUUCUGCAGCUAGAAACGGACACUGAGCUGGAGUAAACCGCACAGAGAAGAACUGAGGAAUGUAAAGUAAAAGAAAGCAAUGCAAGCUGUUCAUGAUAGGAAAGAUCUGCAUAUGUUCAUUUUAUAGUAGAAAAAUGGUAAGAUUUUUCUGUCCCCAAUUUUCUCUCCAAAUGAAUCCAAAUUUCCUGUAUUUUGGAAUGACUUUGGGUAAAGUGGUUGUUUAUAUAGUCUCUGAUAAAAUAUUGAGGAUAUUAUUAGAUAUUGUUACAUUUCCAUGAAUAUGUUUCCCUUUAUCUUUAAGAGAAAGAGAAGUAUAACCUAUCAGAGUGGGAGAUGGUAUAAAAGCUGGACUAAACGAAUUGCUAGAUGGAGGGCAAACCUAGUGUGAAUG